GAAUCAUUACCGGGAGCGCGCCCGGGGAGGAACCACUCCCCCCGGGCCUCGGGGCGCCUGAUCGGGGCCCUGAACUCUCACCUUGUGCUGUCGUACCUGACGUUGCUUCGGCGGCAUGGGCCCUUCCCUUCAGGGAGGGUUCCCUCGCCGGAGGGCCCCUAAAAUCUGAUUUUCUAGGUGAUGUCCGAGGGCGAAAACGAAAAUCGUGAAAAACUUUCAACAACGGAUCUCUUGGUUCCGGCAUCGAUGAAGAACGCAGCGAAAUGCGAUAAGUAAUGCGAAUUGCAGAAUUCAGUGAAUCAUCGAAUCUUUGAACGCACAUUGCGCCCCCUGGCACUCCGGGGGGCAUGCCCGUUCGAGCGUCAUUGACCCCCUCGAGCCUCAGGCUUGGUGUUGGGCUGCGUCCCUCCCGCUCCGGGGGGGAUGGGCCCGAAGAUAAGUGGUGGUCCCGAAACGACCCUCGGCGCGAUAGUAAUCUCUCGCUGUGGGGGCUCGCCUCGGGUGUCUUCCAACUACGCCCUCGGGGUGGAAUGCACCUGGAUCUGCGACACAUACAGUUCAGGUGCCUCCCCUUGGGAAGCAAACCUGCCCUUGGGAGGAGGAGGACACAGAGGGCCAUCUGAACGCAAUAUCGUUCGGGUAAAAUACCCUCCCUCGGGACGCACACGGUUGACCUCGAAUCGGGUAGGGAUACCCGCUGAACUUAAGCAUAUCAAUAAGCGGAGGACAAGAAACCAACCGGGAUUGCCUCAGUAACGGCGAGUGAAGCGGCAGCAGCUCAAAUUUGAAAUCUGGUUCCUCCCCGGGGGCCCGAGUUGUAAUUUGGAGAGGGUGCUUCAGGGGGCGCGUCGCUGGCCCAAGUGCCUUGGAACAGGACGCCUGGGAGGGUGAGAGCCCCGUACGUGGCCGGUGGCCGCUCCCGCACGAAGCCCUUUCGACGAGUCGAGUUGUUUGGGAAUGCAGCUCUAAGCGGGUGGUAAAUUCCAUCUAAAGCUAAAUACCGGCCGGAGACCGAUAGCGCACAAGUAGAGUGAUCGAAAGAUGAAAAGCACUUUGGAAAGAGAGUCAAACAGCACGUGAAAUUGUUGAGAGGGAAGCGCUUGCCCCCAGACCUGCCCGCGGGCGAUCACCCGUGGCCCUCGUGGCCCCGGGGCACUCGCCCGCGUCCAGGCCAGCACGGGUUCGGGCAGCGGGAGAAAGCGCCCGGGAACGUAGCUCCUUUCGGGGAGCCUUAUAGCCCGGGCGGUCAUGCCGCUCGCCCGGACCGAGGACCGCGCUUCGGCUAGGGUGCUGGCGUAAUGGGGGUCAGCGGCCCGUCUUGAAACACGGACCAAGGAGUCUAACGUCCCCGCGAGUGUUCGGGCGUCAAACCCCCGGCGCGGAAUGAAAGUGAACGGAGGUGGGAGCCCU
rnacentral:rRNA from 1 species